ACCUAAACCUGAUUGAAAUGGCAUUCCGAUCCUUUAUCGGAAUAUAAUGAAAAGCAGGACUGACG
rfam:Pedobacter kyungheensis strain KACC 16221 contig028, whole genome shotgun sequence.